rnacentral:rRNA from 1 species
GAUGAACGCUGGCGGCGUGCCUAAUACAUGCAAGUCGAGCGAACGGACGAGAAGCUUGCUUCUCUGAUGUUAGCGGCGGACGGGUGAGUAACACGUGGAUAACCUACCUAUAAGACUGGGAUAACUUCGGGAAACCGGAGCUAAUACCGGAUAAUAUUUUGAACCGCAUGGUUCAAAAGUGAAAGACGGUCUUGCUGUCACGUAUAGAUGGAUCCGCGCUGCAUUAGCUAGUUGGUAAGGUAACGGCUUACCAAGGCAACGAUGCAUAGCCGACGGGUGAGGGGGAUCGGCCACACGGGAGCUGAGACAGGGACCAGGGUCCUACGGGAGGGAGCAGUAGGGAAUGGGCCGCAAUGGGCGAAAGCCUGACGGAGCGACGGCGCGCGAGUUAUGAAGGUGUUCGGAGCGUAAUACUCGGUUAUGAGGGAAGAACAGAUGUGGAAGUAACUGUGCACAGCGUGACGGUAACUAAUCAGAAAGCAACGGCUAACUACGUG